rnacentral:lncRNA from 1 species
UUCUACAUCCUUUUAGUUACUUGAGUAAAGUUAUGAGAGUAAACUUUUAGGAGUCAAAACUGCCUGCUACUAGUAACUCAUACUCAAAAGUUAAUUCACGAAAUGAGUGUUGGUGCCUUAAAUUUAUAUUUACUUAACUCCAAAUUUAAAUAAUAUCCCUAACAAUAAAAUUAUCAUUAUUGUUCCUCGUAUGUGAAUUCAGUAAAAAUAACAAAGAUUUGGUCAUGCAUGUUUUUCAGGAGCACACACGUUCGGAAGGGCUCAGUGCCAAUUUUUCAGGGGCAGAUUAUACGAUUUUAACAACACUGGCAAGCCAGACCCAACCCUAGACGCAACCUUCUUACAACAACUGAGGAAACUAUGCCCACAAGGUGGAAACGGCGGCGUUCUUGCUAAUUUUGAUGUCACGACACCUGAUGUUUUCGACAACAAAUACUUCUCCAAUCUUAGAGGCCGCAAAGGCCUUCUGCAGAGUGAUCAAGAGUUGUUUUCGACUCCUGGUGCCGAUACCGCUGCCAUUGUCGAGGACUUUGGGAGGAACCAGAAUGCUUUCUUUAAAAACUUUGUGACCUCAAUGAUAAGAAUGGGAAAUUUGAAACCACUGACAGGAAAUCAAGGGGAGAUUAGAUUGAACUGCAGGAGGGUCAAUGGAAACAGUAAUAUUGCAACAAGAUCAUCAUCAUCAGAGGGUGAUUUGGUCAGCUCUUUCUAAAUAAGCUAGCUUGCAGCAUAUGCGCGAGAGUUUUUGUGCUUAACAAACUCAAAUUUAAUCUGAUCGUUUUGCCUGAAACAUGUUAUGUACUUUCAAAUAAAUUAACGAUCAAACUUGAGUUUAAUCUAAUGGUCUUGUCUGAAAGAUGUUAUGUAUUUUCAAAUAGAUUAAUUAAACUUUUGUUUGUGUGUUCACAUCCUGCUUUCUACACGUAAUUUUGUUUAUUAUUUGUUUUUUUUCAACAUCAUCAAUGUCACGUUUUAACCAAUAAAAAUUAUGUAUACAUGUGGCUUCUGCCGUAGGCUCACCGCUAAGAAUUAAUAUUAGAUCGGACAGAAAAGUCUAUGAAUCUAAAUUUAUUUGUCGAAUGAUACUUUCGUUCUCUUAGAAAUUUUUUUCAUCAUUCGAGUCUCUUAUUAUUUUUUCGUUUCAUCCAUGACAUUUAAAUCAGUUUUCUCUUAAACUUAAUUACGUGCCUUUUAUCUUUUAUAAUCUAAGAGAACAAAGAUGAAUUUGUCUGUUAAGGAAUUUACCUUACAUCAGUUAAUUAAAAUAGUUACAACUCUGAAAUUAAUUUUUAAUAUGAAUUACGUAACAAUCACUAGCUAUAGGUAUAAUAUAUAGAAGUCAUAGGCAAAAUGAUAUUUCAGUAAAUAAUAAUUAAAAUUCCGAAGGGUUUCGAUUUGUGGAAUCCACACGCUAAAAGAAAUAAUAUUAAUCAGAGGCCAAGGCCCCGGCCACGGCCCCGGCCACGGCCGCCACCAAACAAAGGCACCAUUUCAUGAAUUAUUAACUUUAAGUGGCUUAGAUUCAACCACUCACGUGGGUGAGGACUGAGGAGAGUUUUGGUUUCGUUUCUGUAAAUACUAUAAAUAAAUAAAUAAAACAGCAGGGAGGAUCGGUACGACUUCAAAAAUAUGUGGAGAAAAAUAUGCUUUCACUAAAACGUUGGGAAAAAAUUAAUCGUGUAAUUAUUUCAUCAUACCAUUUUACGUUUUCUGUUUUGCAUUUUACAUUUUCUUUUUCACCGACAUCAAAAAUGGGUUCAUAAUUUGCAGCCACCAAAUAAGUUCACGUUUAAAACUCAACUAAUAAUUUUAAAAAAUAGAUGGGCCUCACAAAUCUUUAAUUUUACUAAAUUCUUUCAAACAAACUAUCAAAUACAUUACUAUUUUUAUUUAAAACAUAAUUAUUUUAAAAUUAGUUACCCAACUUAUUUUGAAAUUUACCAAAAACAAUUUAUUUCUAUAUUAAAAUAGAAGUACAAAAACACCCACAAUAAGCUACUAUACUUUAUUUUAAAACAGUUGACUUUUACAAUAUACAAUGUGAAACUUCUUGGUUGUUGGCAAGUUCUAAUCCUGUUUGCUUCAGAUUAUAAAUAGUCAUGCAGGAGAGUUAUGGAUAGCUCUCACUCUCACUAACCUCUUCAAAUGGCCACUCUGCGUUAUCUUCUUGCAGCUGCUCUUGUAGUUGCUAUUGCUCUUGAGGGAUCAUCACCAUCUCAAGCUCAACUGUCUCCCUUUUUUUAUUCUUCCACAUGCCCUAAUGUAACCAACAUAAUUCGAGGGGUGCUUCAGAAAGCUUUCUUGUCCGAUAUUCGUAUCGGUGCCAGCCUUAUCAGGCUUCAUUUCCAUGACUGUUUUGUUAAUGUAUCAACUUUAAACAAAAUAUAGUUUUACUUAAAACCUAAAGAACAGUUUGAAUAUGUCAUUUUUAAAAAUCCAAAACCCUUUUUAUAUAUCUUUUUUUUUAAUUGCUUUUACUUGUAUGCUGCUUGUGCAUCCUUGUUCUGCCCGCAUAUUCAUAAAUUUAAAGAGACUUUUUCCCCCUAAAAGAUCUGAUUUUUUCAAUUCAUAGGACGAUUUUUUCCUUUCUAAUUUCGAUGCACCGAAGGCCGUGUAAUUUUUCAAAAAGACACUUAUAUAUGUGAUUUUCAUACAUUAGAAAUUAAAAUCAAAUAAAGACUUAGCCUAAAUCAAGGAUUAAAAUCCUCUAGUGAUCUAUUUCUUGUUGAGUGCUUUUGAUGAUGCCUUGAGUCUAUUAUUAAUAUAGUUUAAAAUUUAACUACUCCAACUGAAAAGCUUAAGUCGGGAGUAAAUCCUAGUCUUGAAAACAUAUUUGACGAUAAGACAAUUACAAUAAGAAGAGUUUGCGUUACUUUUUAUUUAUUUGUCAUGAGAUAAGAAGGAAUCCAUCAACUUAUUAAAUUAACGAUACAACGACACUUAACAUGACAAAUUAUUAAUUAACAAUAUCAUUUCAGGGCUGUGAUGCAUCAGUUUUGUUGGACAACACUACAACCAUAGACAGUGAGAAAUUUGCUGCGCCAAAUAAUAAUUCGGCGAGGGGUUUUGAAGUUAUUGAUCAGAUGAAAGCUGCCGUUGAAAAGGCCUGUCCAAGGGUUGUUUCCUGUGCUGAUAUUCUCACUAUUGCAGCUGAACAAUCUGUUGCUUUGGUACGAAUUUUUAUUAACAACUCCACUUCUUUAAUAAUAAAAUAAUUAGGGUAAUUAUCCAUCAACCACUUGUUCUUUUGUAUUAUUUAAAAAAUAUUUAAUUUUUUUUGCUGAAUUCUAUUCGAAUUAUAUUAUUUUGCACAUAUACACUUCCGUCUCCAAAUUGUUAAGAGAACUCAUGGAAUAUUGUAUAAAUGACUUUUUAUCCCCAAAUGUAAAAUAACAAUUAUUCAUCGACUACUUUUUUUUCACAUUUUUUUGAAAAAUAUAUAAUUUUUUUUUUUUUUGCUGAACUCUACUUAAAGUUAUAUUAUUUUGCACGUCCACUUUUGUUUUUUCGUCGUGAAAUGAUAAUUUUACCUUUAUGAUAUUAAAAAAAUUCUAAAAAAAAUAUUUUUUAACAAAUUAAAAAAAUAAGUGAUACGUGGAUAAUUACUCAAAAAAUAAUUCUCACGGAAAAAUGGAAAAAUUUUGAAUCCACGUUUUUAUUCUUGCAUUGUUGCAUGUGCAUUUCAACGAGAAAACUACAAAAGUCUAAGAUGUCAUUGUCCUACCACGUGGUAAUUGAUUUAAAAGUUGUGAUGGGAUUCGUCAUGGAACCGAUCACUUUUAAGAUCCCAUCGUUUUCAACUAUGACGUUGGAUUUCAUUACACGACAAAGCUUGAUCCAAAAUUUUAUGGCGACGUGAUAAGACUACCACAUUAUUAGCCAAAUGAUCCGACCCAAACACACACAAAUUGAAAGCCCGAAAGAUUAAUUGUCUAUUUCUGAUUUUGAUAAAAUUUGCUUAUUAUACAUCUCUUAAGUUUAUUGCUGAUCGUGAGUAAUGAACUGAAUGGUUUUGGUUACAGUCAGGGGGUCCUUCGUGGACAAAUCUAUUGGGAAGAAGAGACAGCAGAACAGCAAACAGAACUCUUGCAAAUCAGAAUCUUCCAUCACCGUUUGAUACUCUUGACAGGCUCAAAGCUAGUUUUAGAAAUGUCGGCCUCAACGAUAAUUUUGAUCUUGUUGCACUCUCCGGUAAUUAUUUUGCUUCUCGCCCUUUAAUUUUAAGUAAAGUUAUGAGAGUAAAUUUUUAGAGGUCCAGGAUUCCACGUGGAGCGGUCAUCUAAAUAAAGGUAGUCAUGCUACAGCAAAUUAUGUUAUUAUCACUAAGCGAAUUAUAAUAUUAUUCCUUGUAUGAAUAGAGCAUGUAUAAUUUUCAGGAGCUCACACAUUUGGAAGGGCUCAGUGCCGAUUUUUCAGCGUAAGAUUAUUCAAUUUCAACAACACUGGCAAUCCAGACCCAACCCUAGACGCAACCUUCUUACAACAACUGAGGCAACUAUGCCCACAAGGUGGAAACGGCAGCGUUCUAACAAAUUUAGACGUCACAACACCUAAUGUUUUCGACAACAAAUACUUCUCCAAUCUCAGAAACCGCAAAGGCCUUCUGCAGAGUGAUCAAGAGCUGUUUUCGACUCCCGGUGCCGAUACCAUUGACAUUGUCAAUGUCUUUCGCAAGAACCAGGCUGCUUUCUUUAAAAGCUUUGUGAC